rnacentral:rRNA from 1 species
UACGUAGGAGGCGAGCGUUGUCCGGAAUUACUGGGCGUAAAGCGCACGUAGGCGGCUUCUUAAGUCGGUGGUGAAAUCCUGGAGCUCAACUCCAGAACUGCCUUCGAUACUGGGAAGCUCGAGUCCGGGAGAGGUGAGUGGAACUGCGAGUGUAGAGGUGAAAUUCGUAGAUAUUCGCAAGAACACCAGUGGCGAAGGCGGCUCACUGGCCCGGUACUGACGCUGAGGUGCGAAAGCGUGGGGAGCAAACAGG